rnacentral:rRNA from 1 species
UAACGCGUAUGUAACCUACCUAUAACAGGGGCGAUAACACUGAGAAAUUGGUACUAAUUCCCCACUAAUAUUCGGAGGAGGCAUCUCUCCGGGUUGAAAACUCCGGUGGUUAUAGAUGGACAUGCGUUGUAUUAGCUAGUUGGUGAGGUAACGGCUCACCAAGGCAACGAUACAUAGGGGGACUGAGAGGUUAACCCCCCCACACUGGUACUGAGACACGGACCAGACUCCUACGGGAGGCAGCAUG